GCUUCCUGCUGGGGUUUAUCAAUAUAGGUUUCUCGUAGAUGGACAGUGGAGGUAUGCUCCGGAGUUGCCUUGGGCUCAAGACGACGUUGGCAAUGCUUACAAUGUUUUGGACUUGCAGGAUAACGUGCCUGAAGAUAUUGAAAGCAUCUCUAGCUUUGAGCCUCCUCAGUCACCAGACUCAAGCUAUGACAAUCUACUACUUGGGUCUGAUGAUUAUGCGAAAGAGCCACCAUUGGUUCCCCCACACCUACAGAGGACACUGCUUA
rnacentral:misc_RNA from 1 species